AACCCUUGUCCUUAGUUACCAGCACGUUAUGGUGGGCACUCUAAGGAGACUGCCGGUGACAACCGGAGGAAGGUGGGGAUGACGUCAAGUCAUCAUGGCCCUUACGGCCUGGGCUACACACGUGCUACAAUGGUCGGUACAAAGGGUUGCCAAGCCGCGAGGUGGAGCUAAUCCCAUAAAACCGGAUCGUAGUCCGGAUCGCAGUCUGCAACUCGACUGCGUGAAGUCGGAAUCGCUAGUAAUCGUGAAUCAGAAUGUCACGGUGAAUACGUUCCCGGGCCUU
rnacentral:rRNA from 1 species